rnacentral:rRNA from 1 species
CAGUGGGGAAUCUUGCGCAAUGGGCGAAAGCCUGACGCAGCGACGCCGCGUGCGGGAGGACGGCCUUCGGGUCGUAAACCGCUGUUGCCCGGGACGAAACGCUCUUUGGAGGGCAUUGACGGUACCGGGUGAGGAAGCACCGGCUAACUCCGUGCCAGCAGCCGCGGUAAUACGGAGGGUGCGAGCGUUGUCCGGAAUCACUGGGCGUAAAGGGCGCGUAGGCGGCGCGGGAAGGCGGCGGUGAAAGUCCGGGGCUCAACCCCGGAUCGGCCGUGGCGACUCUCGCGCUGGAGCACAGUAGAGGCGGGUGGAAUUCCGGGUGUAGCGGUGGAAUGCGUAGAGAUCCGGAAGAACACCGGUGGCGAAGGCGGCCCGCUGGGCUGUGGCUGACGCUGAGGCGCGACAGCGUGGGGAGCAAACAGGAUUAGAUACCCUGGUAGUCCACGCCGUAAACGAUGGGCACUAGGUGCCUGGGGGAGCGACCCCCUGGGUGCCGGCGCUAAC